UACGGCCACGUUCAAACACCGGUUUCUGCACGAUCACCUAAGUUAAGCAACGUUAAGCCUAGACAGUACCUAAAUGGGUGACCACUUGGGAAUACCAGGUGCUGUAAG